ACUGUAAAAAAUUUCUGUAAAUUUACAUGGAAAUUCAACAGCAAAAUGCUGUUUUCGUGUAAUAACAGUAUGUUGCUGUUUUUUACAGUGCAUUGUGGGUAGACUCGCUCACUUCAGGUCUGUUGUCGAGCAACAACAGAAUGUUACUGUUAUUUAACAGUAUUAUAGCAUAUUUUUCGUUGUGCACGCCAUUUUGGAUUGUCUGCAUGAGGUAGGUCUGCAACUUUAUCGAUGCUUGUGCUAUUUUUAAAUUACAUAUUACUUUUAAAUAUUGCAUUUUAUCCAGUGAAGCUUUUCAAAAAUAAAUCAGAUUUAAUUUCCUAUUUUAAUCAGGCAAAGUGGGUAUUCUACCAUCACAUCAGUUACACUCACAUCAGAUCACAGGGUUAUUUUGGUGCUUUGGUGCUAUUUUUGUCCUUAUUCCCUUUUCGUGCAUUGUGUAGACAAACAAAUAUUACAGAUAUUAUUAAGAUGUGUGCCACUCCUGCUGACUUUGAGAAGACUAUAACUCACCUGUGACACCUUGUUUGAUCCUGUUUGGUGAUACUCAGGGACAAUGGAUUAAACAAUGGAUGAUCAGCCUGAAAGCCAAAAGAAUCUGCAAGGGUGUUCAGCCAACAUGUCUCACUGGACUUGCUGAAUUGUUUUCUUUGUAUAACAUCUUCAACUUGCAAAAAGUGAGAGCAGCAUCCAUACUGGAAGUCCUUCAAAGACGCUUCAUUAAAAUCAAACCGGGAACCAAGGCUGCAAAGGGAAAAGUGACCUCUAAAACAGAAAACUGCAAAACAAGACCAUCAACAGUCAGUCUCAAACUAUCAAAUCUUUUAAAAAGACUUAUGGACUUGAGUGGUACUUUAUUUAAAAUGUAGCUGACACUUCCCACCAAUACAGUUUUUUUUUAAUAUGGUGGGCUGCAGUGAUGGCAGGUGACUUCUCUGAGGAGGCACGAAUGCAAAUAGCCAAAACAUCGUCAUGUGUGUGGCUCAUCAUUUCAAAAUGUGCGUUCGGCGCGUCAUGUGAACCUGUGCAUCACGUGUCAUGUCAAAAUACGUGCCUGCUCCAGACACUUUGAAGGGGAUUAUGAUAAAAGAAAUGCUCGCUUUUGCCAUACUAGCUUAAUCUCAUGUGUAAUCAGAGUUUAGUGUUAAAUUAGUGUCUUGUGAGUAUCAUGUCUUUUUUAUUCUUUAUCAUAUUCAAAGCGUUUGCGGCAGGCACGUAUUUUGACAUGAUGUGUGAUCCAUAUAGGUUCGCUGGUGGGGUGGUGUUUUUAAUACUGGUUUGUAUAUUAUAGACCAUGUUUUCGUAUUUAAAAUUGGGCUGGUGUCUGUUAAAAAACAGAUUAUUAGCGAAUUAAUGUUUUAUUGAAUUCUUUUAAAAAUGUGGUGUUUUUACAGUUGUAAAACUUUUGUGCUUUUUUUAAAUCAAAAUUUUAAACUACAUUUGUAUUUUAAGUAAAGAUAAGGCAUCUCAAUAUUGUUCUUUGUUUAUUUGAUUUUUUUGUGUCAUUUUUGUAUUAUAGUAUGUUAUUGGUGCCUUUUAAUUGCACCACAGUUUAUGCACUGAAUAUUAAAAUAUAUCUGCUUGUAUUUCUGCUUGUUUUAUGGCAUAACAAACAUAGCAUAACAGUCAAUCUGGUGUUGAAUAGAAUAAAGAAUAAAAAAAUUCAUAACCUGGCCUUUUUUGUUUUAUGUUAUCCACUUUGACAAAUAUAAAAUGCAGGGUAUAAUAGCAUUUCAAUUUUAAAAUAAUGGAGGUGUGACUAAUAUGUACUGUAAAUUAACAGGUAUAUGAUGCUAAAUAACAGUUUUAUGCUGUAGAUAACAAAAACAGUAUCAUGCUAUUAAAUAACAGCUGUAUUCUGUAGAUAACAAAAACAGUACCAUGCUGUUAAAAUAACAGUUGACUGCUGUAGGUAACAAAACAGUAUCAUGCUGUUUUUUCUAAUAACAGUAUUCCGCUGUAAAUUAACAGUGCAAUGCUGGCAACCACAGCUUCCAGCAUAAUACCGUUUUUUUACAGGGAAAUUUUUUACAGUG